rnacentral:pre_miRNA from 1 species
GUGUGGAUGGUGUUCAGCACUAAGGACAGGUGUGUUUGCCUGUGUGUGGAUGGUGUUCAGCACCAAGGACAGGUGUGUUUGCCU